CGAGGCGAACCGGGGGAACUGAAACCUCAGUACCCCGAGGAAAAAAAAUAAACCGAGAUUCCCCCAGUAGCAGCGAGCGAACUGGGAGCAGCCCAGAGUCAAUAUCAAUAUUUACCGCAGGAGAAGGGUCUGGAAAGGCCGGCAAUAAAGGGUGAUAGCCCCGUAUCUGAAACGGUAAGUGUUGUGAACUCGAAGAGUAGGGCGGGACAGGUGUUAUCCUGUCUGAAUAUGGGGGACCAUCCUCCAAGGCUAAAUACUCCUGACUGACCGAUAGUAAACCAGUACCGUGAGGAAAAAGCGAAAAAAAUCCCGGCGAAGGGAAUGAAAUAAAACCUGGAACCGUGUACGUACAAGCAGUGGGAGCACCCGAAAGGUGUGACUAGGUACCUUUUGUAUAAUGGGUCAGCGACUUAUAUUCUGUAGCAAGGUUAACCGGAUAGGGGAGCCGUAAGGAAACCAAGUCUUAACGGGGCGUUAAGUUGCAGGGUAUAGACACGAAACCCGGUGAUCUAGCCAUGGGCAGGUUGAAG
rnacentral:rRNA from 1 species